CAAGCAGGCGUCCCUUCAAGUUUUGGGUGAAAUCCUCUCGCUUAACGAGAGAACUGCCUGAAAAACUGAAGGGAUUGAGGCUAGAAGAGGAGAGCGGAAUUCCCGGUGUAAGGGUGAAAUCUGUAGGUAUCGGGAGGAACACCUGUGGCGUAAGCGGCUCUCUAGUCUAGCCCUGACGCUGAUCUGCGAAAGCUAGGGGAGCAAACA
rnacentral:rRNA from 1 species